rnacentral:rRNA from 1 species
UACAGAGGUGGCAAGCGUUGUUCGGAAUUACUGGGCGUAAAGGGCUCGUAGGUGGCCAACUAAGUCAGACGUGAAAUCCCUCGGCUUAACCGGGGAACUGCGUCUGAUACUGGAUGGCUUGAGUUCGGGAGAGGGAUGCGGAAUUCCAGGUGUAGCGGUGAAAUGCGUAGAUAUCUGGAGGAACACCGGUGGCGAAGGCGGCAUCCUGGACCGACACUGACACUGAGGAGCGAAAGCCAGGGGAGCAAACGGG